GGCACGGUGGUGCGGUGGAUAGCGCUGUCGCCUCCCGGCAAGAAGGCCCCGGGUUCGAAUCCCGGCCGAGGGCCU
rnacentral:tRNA from 1 species